ensembl:lncRNA
AAAUGGUUUUGAAAGUCUUAAUCACCAAAGGUGCAGUUAUUUGAUCAAAUCUACAGUAGAACUACAGUUCUUAAAAUGACUGUUUUCUGUUUUAUUAUAUUUGAAAAUUUAAUUUAUUCCUGUGAUGACAAAGCUGAAUUUUGAGCAGUUAUUGCUCCAGUCUUCAGUGUCACAUGAUCCUUCAGAAAUCCCUCUAAUGGUUAUCAGUGAAACAGUUGAAAACAGUUGCGCUUCUUAAUAUUUUUUGUGGAAACUGACAUGUUUUUUCUUCAGGACUCUUAUUUUUCUGAAACUUUAAAAAACAGCAUUUAUUUAAAAAAAAAAAAAAAUUGUUACAUUCUAAAUGCCUUUACUGUCACAAGGUAUAGAGAUGUUCUCUUUGUUUAGAUGUACAGGUGUUUGUGGUUAUGCUCUGUGUUUGCCCAGUUGGGGACAUCGGCUGAGCUGACCUGCAUGUAUGAUACACACGCCUCAGAGGGCUUCACCCUGGAGUGUAUUUAGAGUCAGUUACAAUAAACCACCACAUCUGAUCUCAGUGUCCUGUUUGACACAGGUGCUGUACUAAAAUGGGAGGCUUUACUAGGUGAAAUCUUGGGAGGGAAGGAUGGCUCUUGUGCAGAACCCUCCAGUGUCUCGAGUCGCUUCUGUCAGGAUCAACAAUGGCAAAAUAUCUGAUAGUGGGUUGUAUAUGAGUGUGUGGGCACCAACCCAAAUGACUGGUCUAGCAGUGGACAAGGUCUGAUCAACCUCACUGUGCUAGCUCCUCCAUCUGUACCAGAAUGUUGGCUGCAGGGAUACUCCUUAGUGGGGUAUGAUGUGAUUCUGAUAUGUCAUUCCUCUCAGGGUCACCCAACACCAAUCUAUUCAUGGCACAGAGAGCAGAAUGCAGCCCCUCUGCCGUCAGACAGUUUUGUUGAAGGCAGGAAACAAUUAGCUGCUGCGAUAAAACUCAAUCUGGCACCUGAAAAUAGAGCACGGAUGGCAGAUUUGCUUACUUAACUUUCAUAAAGAGCCAAACAGGAUUAUAUAUAAAAACUAAGCAUUAACAAUUUUAAUGAAUCUCACCCUCAGGCCAUCCAAGAUGUAGAUGAGUUUGUUUGUUCAUGAGAGCAGAUUUGGAGAAAUUUAGCAUUACAUUACAUGCUCGCCAAAGGGUCCUUUGCAGUGAAUGGGUGCCGUCAGAAUAAGAGUCCAAACAGCUGAUAAAAACACAACAAUAAUCCACAAGUAAUCCACACUACUCCCGUCCUUCAAUUAACAUCUUGUAAAGCCAAACACUGUGUGUUUGUAAUAACCAAAUGAAACGAAAUGUUUUAUAGUAUUAUUUAUUUUUACAUUUUUUAUAGUAUGUAUUAUUUUUACAUUUGUACAUGUAUAUAUCACCAUUAGUCAUCAGCCACCCUGCUAUCUAGAUAUCAACCU